rnacentral:rRNA from 2 species
GUCCUGGUUAUUAAAGCGACUUGGUACCACCCUUUUCCAUCCCGAACAAGGAAGUGAAACGAGUCAGCGCCGAUGAUACUAAUCGCGAAAGCGUUAGGGAAAGUAGGUCAUAGCCAGGAUA